GGGUCGAUGGCGUAGUUGGUUAUCGCAUCUGUCUAACACCUCGCGGUUCACAGAAGGUCCUCAGUUCGAACCUGGGUCGACUCA